AACGAACGCUGGCGGCAUGCCUAACACAUGCAAGUCGAACGAGACCUUCGGGUCUAGUGGCGCACGGGUGCGUAACGCGUGGGAACCUGCCCUUAGGUUCGUAAUAACUCCCCGAAAGGGGUGCUAAUACCGGAUAAUGUCUUCGGACCAAAGAUUUAUCGCCUUUGGAUGGGCCCGCGUUGGAUUAGCUAGUUGGUAGGGUAAAAGCCUACCAAGGCGACGAUCCAUAGCUGGUCUGAGAGGAUGAUCAGCCACACUGGGACUGAGACACGGUCCAGACUCCUACGGGAGGCAGCAGUGGGGAAUAUUGGACAAUGGGCGAAAGCCUGAUCCAGCAAUGCCGCGUGAGUGAUGAAGGCCUUAGGGUUGUAAAGCUCUUUUACCCGGGAUGAUAAUGACAGUACCGGGAGAAUAAGCUCCGGCUAAUUCCGUG
rnacentral:rRNA from 1 species